rnacentral:lncRNA from 1 species
CCCUGUGUCCCCAUGUCCCUGUGUCCCCAUGACCCCCACAUCCUCAUGUCCCUGUGUCCCCAUGUCCCUGUGUCUCCGUGUCCCCAUGUCCCACAUCCCCACGUCCCCAUGUCCCCACAUCCCUGUCUCCCCACAUCCCAUGUCCGCACAUCCCUGUGUCCCCAUGUCCCCCAUCCCCACGUCCCCAUGUCCCUGUGUCUCCACAUCCCUGUGUUCCCACAUCCCCACACCCUCAUGUCCCCACGUCCCUGUAUCCCCAUAUCCUCGUGUCCCCAUGUCCCCGUGUCCCCCAUGUCCACAUGACCCCCACAUCCUCAUGUCCCCAUGUCUGCACAUCCCCAUGUCCCCAUGUCCCUGUGUCUCUGUGUCCCCAUGUCCCACACCCCCACGUCCCCACAUCCCCAUCUCCCCACAUCCCCAUGUCCCUGUGUCUCUGUGUCCCCAUGUCCCACAUCCUUGUGUCCCCCUGCCCCCAUGUCCCCAUGACUCCCACAUCCCCAUGUCCCCAUGUCCCACAUCCCCACGUCCCCCUGUCCCCACGUCCCUGUCUCCCCACAUCCUCAUGUCCCCAUGUCUGCACAUCCCUGUGUCUCCAUGUCCCUGUGUCCCCAUGUCCCUGUGUCCCCACAUCCCUGUGUCCCCAUGUCCCUGUGUCCCCACAUCCCUGUGUCUCCACAUCCCUGUGUUCCCAUGUCCCCACAUCCCUGUGUUCCCACGUCCCAUGUCUCAUGUCCCCAUGUCCCUGCAUCCCCAUAUCCUCGUGUCCCCAUGUCCCAUGUCUCACAUCCUUGUGUCCCCAUGUCCCUGUGUCCCCAUGUCCCAUGUCUCACAUCCUCGUAUCCCUGUGUCCCCGUGUCCCUAUGUCCCAUGUCUCACGUCCUCGUAUCCCUGUGUCCCCGUGUCCCUAUGUCCCAUGUCUCACGUCCUUGUAUCCCUGUGUCCCCC